UAGGGAAUCUUCGGCAAUGGACGAAAGUCUGACCGAGCAACGCCGCGUGAGUGAAGAAGGUUUUCGGAUCGUAAAACUCUGUUGUUAGAGAAGAACAAGGACGUUAGUAACUGAACGUCCCCUGACGGUAUCUAACCAGAAAGCCACGGCUAACUACGUGCCAGCAGCCGCGGUAAUACGUAGGUGGCAAGCGUUGUCCGGAUUUAUUGGGCGUAAAGCGAGCGCAGGCGGUUUCUUAAGUCUGAUGUGAAAGCCCCCGGCUCAACCGGGGAGGGUCAUUGGAAGCUGGGAGACUUGAGUGCAGAAGAGGAGAGUGGAAUUCCAUGUGUAGCGGUGAAAUGCGUAGAUAUAUGGAGGAACACCAGUGGCGGAGGCGGCUCUCUGGUCUGUAACUGACGCUGAGGCUCGAAAGCGUGGGGAGCAAACAGG
rnacentral:rRNA from 1 species